GAGUACAGGAAUCUGGAGCC
rnacentral:misc_RNA from 1 species